CACGUAGGCACCAAGCGUUGUCCGGAUUUAUUGGGCGUAAAGAGCUCGUAGGCGGUUCAGUAAGUCGGGUGUGAAAACUCUGGGCUCAACCCAGAGACGCCACCCGAUACUGCCGUGGCUAGAGUCCGGUAGAGGAGCGUAGAAUUCCUGGUGUAGCGGUGAAAUGCGCAGAUAUCAGGAGGAAUACCAGCGGCGAAGGCGGCGCUCUGGGCCGGUACUGACGCUGAGGAGCGAAAGCGUGGGGAGCAAACAGG
rnacentral:rRNA from 1 species